rnacentral:lncRNA from 1 species
AACCAGGCUCCUGGCAAUAUUUUUACAGGCAGAUUUGCACAAUCAAGACGCUUUCAGGUUUUGCAACAGAACCCGAGAGGUGGGGUCAGAGUCUGCUGUUGGGGAAAGAGCUGGCUGGGGACCAGGGAUGAGAGAGGUGCCUGAACUUUGGCCCAGCGUCGGGGUGAGCUGGCAGACAGCCGCUCCUGAGAACAGGCUGGCGUCAGGGGUUUCUGACUGGGUCUUUCACCUCCUCGUGUGACACUGCAGGCUGCUGGUCACCCUCUGGAUUGGCUGCCUCAGUCAAGUCCUUACCUCCGGUCCCAUCUGCUGGGCCAGGUGAGGUCACAUGAUGAAAAAGAUGGCUGCUCAGACACCAAGACAGCGGGAGGCAAUUUCUCUUCAAAAGGGGUGUGGGUGGGGCACGCCGUGAUGGGUAUUUUCACUCCAGACUGUCAAGCAGACUUCAAGAAAGCCCACAAGCCUCGUAUCAACUGAAGAGGGACUUUCUUUGGAAGUGAGAGUGAACUCAACCCCACCUGCUUAAUUUGUUCAUUUCUGCACUUUCCUAGGAUGUCACCUCUUUCCUCCUUUUCUGCGGUGAUAUGGUGCAUUGAGAAUAGCUGACAGUGACUUCGCACAAUCCAGUUCCUGCUAUAGAAUUCUGCAGUUUCGCCACGAGCCCAAAUAAGAGGAAAUCUGUCCUCCGCCUUGCUUGGUCUGGAGUAAUUAUUUGUUCCGUGUCAAAAAAGCAUUUUCUGUAUUUUUUGUUUUUUGUUUUUUUUUUUGCUGGUGCUGCAGCAAACAGAGCCCCUUUUUCCCUUUUUUAGUUCCAGCAACUGAGGAUGCUACACUGGCUGCGCAUUUUGAGGAGGUUGUGCUCACCCUGAUGGUGUCGGCGGUGUGUUGAAUAAUAUAAAGGCAGCCGCAGCAGUAAAAUAACGAGGGUGAGCCCAUGUGAAUGAGGUGGGCCUGGAGGGACCAAAUCAGAGAUUCCCAAUUAAGGGUUCACAAACAAUGCGAAAUGGCAUGUUCAGGAUUGACCACUGAUAAGAAUGUUCCAGCUAAUUAAAACGUCAGGGUUGCCUGGUUUGCCAGGAUUUACAAUCAGCCUAGGAGGUAACACUUGUCCGCUGGUCAGUUUCUGCUGAUAAGAAGUUCCGCUUGACAGUUACUGAGGCCUUUGAUAAAUAAAAUAUGGGAAAACAGAUGAAUUAUUACUUAAUAAAUGCAGCGUUGUUUUCAGAGUGCAGAGGUUGUCAGCUGGCAGCCUGAGGGCGGGAGCCAAUCCUCGGACAUCUUCUCCUUGGUCU